rnacentral:rRNA from 2 species
UACGGGGGGUGCAAGCGUUGUUCGGAAUCAUUGGGCGUAAAGCGCGCGCAGGCGGCUUGGUAAGUCAGAUGUGAAAGCCCUGGGCUUAACCCAGGAAGUGCAUUUGAUACUGCCUCGCUAGAGUACGGGAGAGGAAAGUGGAAUUCCUGGUGUAGAGGUGAAAUUCGUAGAUAUCAGGAGGAACACCGGUGGCGAAGGCGACUUUCUGGCCCGAUACUGACGCUCAGGCGCGAAAGCGUGGGGAGCAAACAGG